rnacentral:lncRNA from 1 species
CCGCCGGCCGCGCUCGCCGCCACGGCCGGUGCCCGCCUCCGCUGCGGGGACGCCGCGCUUGGGAAGCUGCCCGGAGCGCGGGGGUGCAGCGCAGCUCGGCCGAGUACAUGCGGACACUUCACUUGCAGCCAUGCCUGUCCCGGGAGCUUUCUGGCUGUUACCGAGCCCAAACAUCCUCAGAGCCACAUGGUUUUGUUAAGCUACUGGAAGUAACUUUUGCCUGGGAUUUACAGCAGCAUUCCCUCCCGGCCCGGCCCCUGCGGACUCCAGCAGGCUCGCUGCCUAACAGUUAUGAAGACUCCUCGAUGCGUUUCAUGUGACCUUUGGGCAGACCGUGGAGCUUUCUAUUUUAUUUUGUGGGGCCUUGAGUCGGGAUCCUCGUAAGGCGUGCUUGGAAGUGGUCAUACCGGAACUCGGGCGCGCACAGAAAUAGUGCCAGAGAAACCAGAUACGCCGUAACUUUCUGCCUGAUACCUGUUGGGCUUCGUGUCUAAACUUCGGCAGUGUUUGGGGGCCUUUUUAUUUCUUGGGAACUUCCAGCCGUGAAGAGGAGCUCUGUGUUUUAUUAAUUACCUUCGAGAACUCUACCCGGAGUCAGACUGUGAGCAUGAGCUUCUAAGGGAAAAGUAAAGCUCGUCUCCAAACUUGAAUGAAGCGCUUCUGGCAUGUGGGAGAUGGAAGGGAUCGACUGCAUUUGGAAGGGAACGGUACCGGAGCGAGCCUUCUCGUCACCAUAAAUUCAAGGAAUGCCGCCUGCCUAAUUUCUGGGAAGGAUACCAAUCGCUGCGCAUAACAUUCAGGGUUGUGCUUAUGCUGUGGGAAUGCUGGCAAGAAGGUGAGGUGUCUCUCGAGGGUAUUUGGGAUGGAUAUUUUGGACCUGUGGAUCUUCCUAACUCUUGGCCAGGAGACAGGAGGCCUCCACAUCCGCGGGGAGACCUCCGUGUGCCUCAUCUCCGUGGGACCGAGGAGUUCCUAAUGCUCCCUGUGCACCCAAACUGACUCCUCGCUUACAACCUGUUUCCUUGAUCCUUCUGGAUUUAUCUGCCGGAGGAGAGACUCACAAUUUAGGAUACUGGGCUGGUUUUGUUUUUUUUUUUAGUUUGUUUGUUUAAAAUAUGCCUGUGAGCUCGCGGCGGCCUCUGAGCACGUGGCACGGGGCGAGCGGAGCGCGGAUGGCGAGAGCCGGGGAGCCGCGGUGAGCGAGCCCCGCUGUGAGCGGAGCGCCGGGAGCGCCGGGCCCGCCGCGCUGAGGACGCGUUCCCGAGCGGUAUGAGCGGC